rnacentral:rRNA from 1 species
UGUGCUAAUACCGCAUAAUCUCUCAGGAGAAAAGCAGGGGAUCGCAAGACCUUGCGCUUUAGGAGCGGCCGAUGCCUGAUUAGCUUGUUGGUAAGGUAAAAGCUUACCAAAGCUUCGAUCAGUAGCUGGUCUGAGAGGACGACCAGCCACACUGGGACUGAGACACGGCCCAGACUCCUACGGGAGGCAGCAGUGGGGAAUUUUGGACAAUGGGGGAAACCCUGAUCCAGCCAUGCCGCGUGAGUGAAGAAGGCCUUCGGGUUGUAAAGCUCUUUCAGCCAGAACGAAACGGU